GCCGGGCACAGUGGCGCACGCCUGUAGUCCCAGCUACUCGGGAGGCUGAGGCUGGAGGAUCGCUUGAGCCCACGAGUUCUGGGCUGUAGUGCGCUAUGCCGAUCGGGUGUCCGCACUAAGUUUGGCAUCAAUAUGGUGACCUCCCGGGAGCGGGGCCACCAGGUUGCCUAAGGAGGGGUGAAACGACCCAGGUCGGAGACGGAGCAGGUCAAAGCUCCCGUGCUGAUCAGUAGUGGGAUCAUGCCUGUGAAUAGCCACUGCACUCCAGCCUGGGCAACAUAGUGAGACCCCGUCUCUU
rnacentral:SRP_RNA from 1 species